rnacentral:rRNA from 1 species
AAUGCCUAGGAAUCUGCCUGGUAGUGGGGGAUAACGUUCGGAAACGGACGCUAAUACCGCAUACGUCCUACGGGAGAAAGCAGGGGACCUUCGGGCCUUGCGCUAUCAGAUGAGCCUAGGUCGGAUUAGCUAGUUGGUGAGGUAAUGGCUCACCAAGGCGACGAUCCGUAACUGGUCUGAGAGGAUGAUCAGUCACACUGGAACUGAGACACGGUCCAGACUCCUACGGGAGGCAGCAGUGGGGAAUAUUGGACAAUGGGCGAAAGCCUGAUCCAGCCAUGCCGCGUGUGAAGAAGGUCUUCGGAUUGUAAAGCACUUUAAGUUGGGAGGAAGGGUUGUAGAUUAAUACUCUGCAAUUUUGACGUUACCGACAGAAUAAGCACCGGCUAACUCUGUGCCAGCAGCCGCGGUAAUACAGAGGGUGCAAGCGUUAAUCGGAAUUACUGGGCGUAAAGCGCGCGUAGGUGGUUUGUUAAGUUGGAUGUGAAAUCCCCGGGCUCAACCUGGGAACUGCAUUCAAAACUGACUGACUAGAGUAUGGUAGAGGGUGGUGGAAUUUCCUGUGUAGCGGUGAAAUGCGUAGAUAUAGGAAGG